UUUAAGGUCUAAUCUGCCCUAUGAGUAGUUAAAUGGCCGCGGUAUUUUGACCGUGCAAAGGUAGCAUAAUAAUUAGUUUUUUAAUUGAAAGCUGGAAUGAAUGAUUGGACGAGAAAAUUACUGUCUCAAUUUAAUUUAAUUAGAAUUUUAUUUUUAAGUAAGAAAGCUUAAAUUUUUUUAAAAGACGAGAAGACCCUAUAGAGUUUUAUAAUAUAGUUUUUAUUAAUUUUUUAGAAUUUUUAUAUUAAUAAUUUUUAUAUUAUUUUAUUGGGGUGAUAGAAAAAUUAAAUUAACUUUUUUUAUAUUAUUACAUUUAUAAAUGAUUAUAUGAUCCAUUUUUUAUGAUUAUAAGAUUAAAUUACCUUAGGGAUAACAGCGUUAUUUUUUUUUAAAGUUCUUAUCGAAAAAAGGGAUUGCGACCUCGAUGUUGGAUUAAAAUAAAUUUUUGGUGUAAAAGCUAAAAUAUUAAGUCUGUUCGACUUUUAAAAUUUUACA
rnacentral:rRNA from 1 species